GCGGGUGGCGGUGAGCGCGGAGAGGAUGCCAUGAAGGCCUUGGGCACACUACGAGAGUGCAAGGUGGUGGGUCGCUGCCCGCCCACCCCCAAAUGCCACACACUGCCCCUAUACCGCAUGCGAAUCUUUGCGCCUAAUGAUGUCAUCGCCAAGACCCGCUUCUGGUACUUCCUAUCUCAGUUAAAGAAGAUGAAGAAGUCUUCAGGGGAGAUUGUCUACUGUGGGCAGGUGUUUGAGAAGUCCCCCUUGCGGGUGAAGAACUUUGGCAUCUGGCUGCGCUAUGACUCCCGGAGCAGCACCCACAACAUGUACCGGGUGUUUCACGACCCGACCACCGCAGGCGCUGUCAUCCAGUACUAGCGAGACAUGGGCGCCCGGUACGGCGCCUGGACCCACUCCAUCCAGAUCAUGAAGGUGGAGGAGAUCGCAGCCAGUAAGUGCCGCCGGCCAGCCGUCAAGCCACGAUUCCAAGAUCAAGUUCCUGCUACCCCACCCGGUCCUGCGCCGUCAGCACUAGCCGCGCUUCACCACCAGGAGGCCCAACACCUUCUAG